AGGAUAAUGGCAGCAGAAGGCAAAGGGAGCAGACAGCUGGCAAGCUCUGUCCCAAUAUGCUUCCCUGAAAGAGGCGAGGAAAUUUCAGAAGAUGCAAUGCCUGAAUGGCUCACUUUGCAGGAAAACAGAAGAACCAAGGCAGGACUGUACUGCCGCAAUCUCGGCUCACUGCAGCCUCCCUGCCUGAUUCUCCUGCCUCAGCCUGCCGAGUGCCUGGGAUUGCAGGCGCCCACCGCCACGCCUGACUGGUUUUUGUAUUUUUUGGUGGAGACGGGGUUUCGCGGUGUUGGCUGGGCUGGUCUCAGCUCCUGACCUCGAGUGAUCUGCCCGCCUCGGCCUCCCGAGGUGCCGGGAUUGCAGACGGGAGUCUCGCUUACUCAGUGCUCAAUGUUGCCCAGGUUGGAGUGCAGUGGCGUGAUCUCGGCUCGCUAAAACCUCCACCUCCCAGCCACCUGCCCUGGCCUCCCAAAGUGCUGAGAUUGCAGCCUCUGCCCGGCUGCCACCCCGUCUAGGAAGUGAGGAGCAUCUCUGCCUGGCCGCCUAUUGUCUGGGAUGUGAGGAGCCCCUCUGCCCGGUGCCCAGUCUGGGAAGUGAGGAGCGCCUCUUCCCGGCCGCCAUCCCGUCUAGGAAGUGAGGAACAUCUCUGCCUGGCCGCCCAUCAUCUGGGAUGCGAGGAGCCCCUCUGCCUGGCUGCCCAGUCUGGGAAGUGAGGAGCGCCUCUUCCCGGGCCAUCAUCCCGUCUAGGAAGUGAGGAACGUCUCUGCCUGGCCACCCAUCAUCUGGGAUGUGGGGAGCGCCUCUGCCCGGCCGCCCUGUCUGGGAGAUGAGGAGCAUCUCUACCCAGCCACCACCCAGUCUGGGAAGUGAGGAGCGCCUCUGCCCGGCCGCCACCCCGUCUGGGAGGUGAGGAGCGUCUCUACCCGGCCGCCACCCCAUCUGGGAGGUGAGGAGCGUCUCUACCUGGCCGCCACCCCGUCUGGGAGGUGA
rnacentral:lncRNA from 10 species